rnacentral:rRNA from 1 species
UACCGGGGGGGCAAGCGUUGUUCGGAAUUACUGGGCGUAAAGGGUUCGUAGGUGGCCACUUAAGUCAGACGUGAAAUCCCUCAGCUUAACUGGGGAACUGCGUCUGAUACUGCGUGGCUUGAGUGCAGGAGAGGAAUGCGGAAUUCCAGGUGUAGCGGUGAAAUGCGUAGAUAUCUGGAGGAACACCGGUGGCGAAGGCGGCAUUCUGGACUGUAACUGACACUGAUGAACGAAAGCCAGGGGAGCAAACGGG